GUCCCGGGCCCCGCUGCAGCCGCCGCAGCUUGUCGGGGGCGGUGGCGCCCGAGGCUCCUGCCGUGACACCGGGAGUCUGCUGGGGACGCAAGGCUGUGCCGGGCACAGCGAGCACCUCGGUGGCCCGUGGCCCUGCCGGUGACCCUGACCCCAUCGCUGACCCCGAGGGUCUGCUGGUGACCUGAAAGCCCUGCCGGUGACACCGAGGCCCUUCCAGUGCCCCUGAGAGUCUGUCAGCGUCCCCAAGGCGCUGCCGGUGCCCACGAGGGCUUGUCAGCGCCGCCGAGGCCCUGCGGGAUCUGCCGAGGCCCAGCUGGUGCCACCGCGCAAUGUCGGAUCUGCCGCCCGUGACGCGGGUCCCCCUUGGCUCUCUCCGCGCCCCGGCACACCAGGCACGCCGGGCAGCACCGUGGAGGCCGGGGCGGCAGGCGAGCCACGAGUGGCCGGCGUGCGGGGGCAGAGCCACUGCCUGACGCCCCAUGCUUGUGCCACUGCAGUUGCUUGAACAACACUGCUUGAAAUGCAUUCAACAUAACAAGGUUCGGGCUGCUGCCCCCCCGCUGAGGACGGCGACGUGCUUCUGCGAACUGCCCCGAGUUGGACUGCGCGCGGCCUACCUGCGAGGAGGGAACGAGCCCGGCAGCGCGCAGGGGAGACGAGCAGAGGAGACGAGCGAAGGUAGCCACCUCGUUAAACGCUAACACGUCCCGGAGCAGAGGCACCGCAGAACUCUGACCUCCCCUCUGGAGCUCAGGGCCUGUCUACACGGAGCAGGUACAGGAAUAAAAGCUACGGGCUGAAUUUAAAUUGCCAUGGUUAUGCUACAAUAGCUGCGGAGAGAUGCUCACUGCCAUAUAAAACAGGCGUUUUUACUUAAUGUUUGGGAAAGGAUUUAAACUAAACCCAAAAUACCACUUUUAGUCCCUGCCAGGUUUCAAUUGUAUAAUUACAUUUUAAUUGUAUAAAAUAAAACUUUGCUGUGGAGACGAGCCCAAAGCCAGGGAGAAGUGUUCACUAUACUGCUUCCCGCUGUAGCACUGUUUUUCUUUUAAGCAGUAAAAGACCACUCAGUAGAUAGGAAGGAAAUCUAUAGUUACAUGAUCCCACAAAAAACACGAAAGGUAACUUUUAAAAUAUAUUUUGGACAUGACUUUUAUCCACAAUGUUAUCUUGUGAUGGUAAAAAGCCGCUACUUACAAUGCAAUUGUAUUUUUCCUUUGAAAGAUAACCAGCUAGUUAAGCUAACUAGCUAACCUGGUCACCUUUUUUGUGAGGUAGAUCUUAUUAACUUAAUUUUGCAGCUAAAUAAAAUGACACAUGCAAGGUGAAAGAUGUGUUCCAGAUGACAGAGAGAGCUGGUAUGCAACUCAAAACUAAGAAGUUUCUGAUGGUUCGUCCGUACUGAGGACACCCAGACUAUUUCCAAGUGUGCUUUCUCCCAGCAAGACAAAACCAGUAUAACAAAGUCACGAAUGUGCAUUUCUAAAGGCCUGCAUAUGAAAAGGGAGUUGGAGUCCAAAAGCAAAAUGAGUCUCCCACAUCCUUUUAAUGGAAGAGACACAGGGAAGUGCUUCCCACGAGGACAACUAGGGCCUGUUAUAAUCAGGAGUCUCUACAAUUCCACUCACCGGUUUCUUAAGCGUUGGUUUCUCUUUGCUGUUUAAGGAGAUUACUGUAUAUGACCAGUUUGACACUGCAGAGCAACUAUAAUUCUUGUCAAUACAGGCGCAACUGAGCUUAAGACCAGAUUACAUUAGUCAAGCUUAUAACACACUAAAACCGUAGGAAUCAGACGUUCUGCAACCUGCUUUAAUCACCUUUUGGAUGAAAGACUGACGGAGCAGGGGAUUUGUACCCUCUAAGCAUCUAAUUUAGGUAUCUCAUCUAAGGUAUCUCAGUUUUCUUCACUGACUAUAGGGAACUUCUAAAUUUAGAAUCUCAGGUUAGUUGUUAAAAUAGUCUAAAAUAGAAAUGGUGUCAUGCCCACGCUCAUGUGGCUAACUGGGAAUGAGAAUGUAACCAGGUUCCAGCUCCCAAUCCCCCAGUCCAACCCUCGGGGAAAUACUAUCCCGGAGCAUUUCCACUUCCCGUUGCCUACUUGUACGUAAUAGCAUUAGGAAUGCCCACGAUCCUGCAUUUUACACACCGCGGGAGGAAACAACGUGGAGUGGGCUAAACCCCUGAAGGGCUUGUGUCAGCUUCACCAGGAAAGCGCUUUAUUCUCCCUCACGACACUGUUACAUUCAACAUUUAGCUAUUAACGUGCUGACGUUUUCCCUCUAGAGAGGACACGGCAGGGAUGGGUUCUGUGGCUUUUCACAUUCGGAACAGUACUGUCGAUUUGCACUUUAAAUGUCCUGACGAGUUGUUUGUGAACCUGCAAUUUUAACCAUUCUUUUGUCAUAUCAUUUGAAUUAUUAAUUGUUGCAAAUGAAUUAGGCACUUGCUGUUUUUAUUUCUCAAACGUCACAUACACAAGCCUGGCUCUCAGACUGGACCCUCAGCACCAACAUGCUGUGCAAAACAGUUAGCAGGACGAAACUAUAGUAAGUAUACCAGAUUCAAAGUUUGCUAAGAUUGUUUAGGGGAGGGUAAUAUUUGGCGAUUGAAACGUGAUCCUCUGGAAAGGCAUCUGUUUAUUUCCCCUUCUUUGCCAACCUUCUUCCAAAGAAGCGGUGGAGAGACUCCAAGUGAUCCAGUGAGCUUAGAAUGUGCCACUGAGCCGUUCUGCAUAUCUGUUCCUCUUUUACUUAUUUAUUUAUUUUUGUUACCUGAUCAGCUGUGUAUUGUGUGCUUGAUUUCCUAAAGCUAUGGGGGCUUCUGACCAAAGGGCUAGAGAUAUUAACUAUAUAUGUAUAACUGAGUUACAUAAUUAUUUUUGUAUGUGUUACUUCUGCAGAUUAAAUCUGGCAAAUGAAUAGAAUUUAAGCAAGUCAACAAAAAAGUGCAGUUGUUCAUCUGUGUGCAGCGUGCAAUGGACCUUUAACACUUCCCCACAGUAAAGUCAAAUCUGAAACCUUAAUGCAAAUCUACAAGAAAAACUGCCUUUCACUUACCACAGUUUUCAAGUCCCAACAGCAUACGCUAACUCCUGGCCCCUACUGCAUAGGUAAGGCAGAGCAUUAAAAACAGCCUAUAGGCUGCUGAGGUCUACCGCAAAUUACUCUUUCAAAGUUUGAUCCAAAGUCUUCUGAAAUUAUUGGAUAAGUGGGUUUUGGAACAGAUCAUAAGUGGAGAAUUUCUCCAGACAAGAACUUUUCAAAAAGAAAGCUUGUAUUAAAAAGGAUUUUUCUUCUGAGACGAUUCAUGGAUGGGUGGAAGUUGCUUGGUGCAGAAUGUAACUAUGAAGAUUAUCAGAUGUCACAAGUCAAAGCCUGGGAAGAGUGCCCUGGUUCCGGUAGCACUGUCAGUGUUUUGACAGAUAUAUACUAAUAAUCUCCUUGACUCUGUUUCUGUGGUAAGGUCACUCCUGACUUGGCUAGUGAUAAGACACAAAAGCUGCCUUUUAAUUUCAAGCAAUGUAAAAAGCACCAAGAGGAGGAUUGAAAUGCUGGCACUACCCCAAGAAUGCAACUAUUUGAGGUCAGUCUGGUUUUUUUUGUAGGUCUGUCCUGAAAGCUACAAUAUAGCAUUCUGUUUCUUGACCAGAUCUAAGUUUUUCAAAGUUCCUGCAUUUUCUCAAAUUCGGCCUGAAAGGCCCCAGUGGCAGUCUGGGGGCUGUUUAAAAUAGCUACGUGGUUUGCUUUAUGGUUGCAGAUGAUAGCUGCUUUUCUCCUACUCGCACAGUAAUCUCAGCUGUUACUGGGCCAAGUGACCUUCCCCGCGUGCAAACAGGGCCAGGCACACCUGCUGUUCCCUCUUCUUUUUCAGAAGGAAAUCAUGGAAAGCCUGAAGAGAGCAGCCUGGCCACAUGCUGUUUAUACGCAGGUCUGAGAGCAAAGGAAACCCCGACAGACUGUCACUUCUAAGCACAUUUUUAGAUAUACAGAUAUAAAUAAAACAUAAGAGUUAUGAAAUGACCACAGGAAAAUGUCAAGGUAAUCUAAAUAAAGACAUAACCAUAGUAUUAAACUGCAAA